rnacentral:rRNA from 1 species
UAAACUAGGAUUAGAUACCCUAUUAUUAUAAAUGUUUAUUUUUAUAUUAAAUUAUUAAUAGUUAUGUUCUUUAAAAUUAAAAAAUUUGGCGGUAUUUUAGUCUUUUCAGAGGAACCUGUCCUGUAAUUGAUAGUCCACGAUUAGGGAUACUUUAUUUAUUAAUUUACAUAUCGUUGUAGUUUGAAUAUUUUAUUAGAAUUAUAAUAUUCAAGAUUUUAUUUUAGAAAAUAUAUCAGAUCAAGGUGUAGUUUAUAAUAAAGAAGAGGUGGGUUACAAUAAAUUUAUUUUUGAAUAAAUUUUUUGAAAAAAUUUUGAAUUUGGAUUUGAAAGUAAUUUUUUGAGUUUUACUAAAAAUGAUUAUAGCUCUAAAAUAUGUACACAUCGCCCGUCGCUCUUAA